GAUACAGAGCCGUACAAAAACCUCCCUCAGUCAGACUGCACAGUGACUGUACUGCUACAGUUGGGACCUACUGCAGGUGCUGAGGGGGAAGAGACAGAGACAUGGAACACUGACUGAACUAAAAUACACUGAGAUAAAUAUAUCAGUGAUGCCGACUAUAAUGUAAACUUAUCCACCUUCAUGUUAAAUCAUUCCUGAACUGACAACACCCGUAGGUCCAGACUACAUAAAUAUGCCUUCCCUUUUGCUGUGGCUAACAAACCUUUUAUUAACAUUUCAGACAAUAAGUUGAAUGGACUCUAUCUAUGUGAAAUAAUAAUGUCUCCCAUGAGUUCAGAAUAAAUAUCCCCGUCUCUGUUAUGUCCCUCUAUUGGGUAACGGGUUUCAAGCUAAGAUUGAACCAUAUUUACUCAGAUCAUAUAACAUGAUUUAUAACCCACUUAAACAACCUGAGGUACUCUCAUACUAGAGACAGUGACAUGGAACACUGGUUUGUGAAGUCAACUUUGAAUAUGUUUAGAACGCAUCAUUCAGAUCUUAUGUUGCCCAUCAUCAUCAUCAUCAUCAUUGUGCUGGACCUCCAAAAGUUAUUUGAAGUUCUGAAAAACCCACAAUACCAGUCCAACAUGUAAAAUAAGAUGUAGAGAAGUAAAGAAAAAGAAGGUGAUGUGACAUCAGCAUCAGCCCCCCUAGAUACAAUCCCUGUCAGAGUUACCACAGUGGUACCACAGUGGUGAUGUGUUCACACAGUGACACACAGAGCCGUACAAAAACCUCCCUUAGUCAGAUUGCACAGUAACUGCACUAGUCGGCUAUGACUGCAGGUGCUGAGGAGGAAGAGACAGUGACAUGGAACACUCACGGAACUAAAAUACACUGAGCUAAAUAUAUCAGGUGACGGUGACUGUAAUGUAAACUUAUCCCCGCUCGUGUUAAAUCACUCCUUAAGCGAUAACAACCGUGUGUCUGGAUUGCAUUAGUAUUCCUCCCAUGUUGCUGUAGUUCAUAUGUAAACAUUGCCUUUACAUGUGACAUAAUACGUUGAACGGACUCUGUGCAACAAUAGUAAUGUCUCACAUCAUUUCAGAAUAAAAACCCUCGGUCUCUGUAAGAUCGCUCUGGCCGGUAGUGAAUUUCAAACAAAGAUUCAACCACAUUUACAGCUGGGACCUACUGCAGAUGCUCAGGGGGAAGAGACAGUGACAUGGAACACUAGGAGAAUGAAGUCAGCUUUGAAUAUUUUUAGAAAGCAUCACUAAGAUCACACGUUCCCCAUCAUCAUCAUCAUUGUAGUGCACCUACAAAAGUUAUUUGAAGUUCUGAAAUACCCACAAUACCAGUCCAACAUGUAAAAUAAGAUGAAGUAAAGAAAAAGAAGGUGAUGUUACAUCAGCAUCAGCCUCCCUAGAUACAAUCCCCAUAUGAACCUCACAACCAGAUAUUCAUCAUCUAGCAUUAUAUGAACUAUUUUGAUGAGCAGGUUACUGACUGUUACAUCUGUGAAGGAGACAUGAUGCUGGGAUCAAACAUUUGACACAUUCGUGUAGAGACCUACACUAUCUACAUAAAGUAUAAUAGAAAUGUCAUCUGUCAUUAUUUAUAUGAUGGUAUAUGUGUUAUGUCUCCUUCACUGAAUCCACCAUAAAGGUUCAAACCAGUCACUACCUCACAUCUGGCCUAGUCCAGGGUAUUUCAGGCAGUGAAACUGUUCAACUUCUAGACUGGUAGCUGUGGGAGUGAAAUUGAGAUUUACAUAGACAGGGCUGGGUGGUUCUGCUUGUCCCAGAAUAGAGCAACACUGUCACCAGAUGUUCACUCUGUUCCCAGAGUGUUGGAGGUAGAGAAGACCAGGGUAAAUAUAAUGAAGUGUAGACUACACUUUGAAGAAAACCAUUGCUAAAACAUCUCAUUUAAUAAAAUCAUAUUUGGAAUUAAACAUGAUAAAUAUAUCCAGUAUGUCAUGGAAAGUAACGGUUUAGCAGUGUGAUUUCUGAGAGCAAACCUUCAAAGUUUAUUAUCAAAUUAGCAGUUGUAGAAAUUAUUGCAGAGUAUUUGUUGGAUCAGAUGCCCUUUUAAUUCUGUUUGAAAACAUGAGAGUAAAUUUACAGUUGAAGUCGGAAGUUUACAUACACUUAGGUUGGAGUCAUUAAAACUCGUUUUUGAACCACUCCACACAUUUCUUGUUAACAAACUAUAGUUUGGCAAGUCGGUUAUGACAUCUACUUUGUGCAUGACACAAGUAAUUUUUCCAACAAUUGUUUACAGACAGAUUAUUUAACUUAUAAUUCACUGUGUCACAAUUCCAGUGGGUCAGAAGUUUACAUACACUAAGUUGACUGUGACAUUAAACAGCUUGGAAAAUUCUAGAAAACGAUGUCAUAGCUUUAAAAGAAUAUGAUAGGCUAAUUGACAUGAUUUGAGUCAAUUGGAGGUGCACCUGUGGAUGUAUUUCAAGGCCUUCUGCCAAACUCAGUGCCUUUUUGCUUGACAUCAUGGGAAAAUCAAAAGAAAUCAGCCAAAACCUCAGAAAAAAUUGUAGACCUCCACAAGUCUGGUUCAUCUUUGGGAGCAAUUUCCAAACGCCUGAAGGUUCCACGUUCAUGUACAAACAAUAGUAUGCAAGGAUAAACACCAUGGGACCACGCAGCCGUCAAACCGCUCAGGAAGGAGACGUGUUCUGUCUCCUAGAGAUGAGCGCUCUUUGGUGCGAAAAGUGCAUAUCAAUCCCAGAACAACAGAAAAGGACCUUGUGAAUAUGCUGGAGGAAACAGGUACGAAAGUAUCUAUAUAUACAGUAAAACGAGUCCUAUAUCGACAUAACCUGAAAAGAAGAGAUUUUGGAGAAGACUGCUCCAAAAAAAACGCCAUAAAAAAGCCAGACUACGGUUUGCAACUGCACAAUGGGACAAAGAUCAUACUUUUUGGAGAAAUGUCCUCUGGUCUGAUGAAAGAAAAAUAGAACUGCGUCCAGAGCCAGAGCCGGAGCCGCCACCGAGGGUUUUGUUAUUUUGUUAGUUUGUUCAGUGUUCAUUCUUUAAAUAAAAAAUAAUGUACACAUACCAAGCUGCGCCUUGGUCCUACCCUUAUAAUGAACGUGACAAACCACAACUAAAUCUUUUAUACAAUCUCAAGGUUCAAUCCCUAUACUCAUCAUUUAACCUUGUACCUUGUAUACUAAAGGUUGAGUGCUCUCAACAACAACAAAAAUCCUACUAAUAACAUAUUACCAUUCACAUACUGUCAACACUCAUUAAGUUUACAUCAAUUCUCCUUAUCAAUGUCUUCUUCACUGUCACCCAUCGUAAGGUUAAGAAAAUAAGAUACCAAAUCAUGAUUAUUCCCUCCUUACUAGAAAAAUUAAAUGUUUACAUGUAGUCUACCCUAACAAUAUUACUCUAUAUGUUUAAUACCAAUACAUUUGUGACAAAUACAUUUGAUUUGAUUUCUAUUAGUGUCUUUAUGGCUUUGCUAUAUUUUAUUUCUAUGAAUUUAUUUCCACCACUCUCUCCUCGCGGUUUUAAUAUAUGCCAAUCUCCCAGAUCCUGUAGACAGUCAUAUAAUGUUUUAACCUUAUCUCUAACAAAUGACCCAUGAAGAGACCGCUCUGAACCUACGUACGUCUACGUAGGGGUUGUUUAAGUUGCAUCUCAUUAUAUUCCCAGUAUUACUUUAUCAAAUCUCAAAUCUUAUCAAUUAUCAAAUUUGCCGGACGCUACCCGAUUGGAAUAAUACUCCACAUGUAUCCUCAACAAUCAAUUAGACUUCCAGAAAGUACAGACUUGCCAUUAUUGUUAUAAAAUAACAUCCCACACUCAAUACCACCCGUGGUAUUCUAUGAUGGGUAAUGUUGAACGGAACCCCAAGAUAACGCUACAUUUCAAACCUUAUUAUCCAAAUGUCAAUCUUCUUAUUUAGCAAAGAACUAUAUCGUAUUAUCCAAAUGUAAGAUUAACACUUAUUUCAACCCUCACACACUCUUGUAUCACAUUCACAUAAAACACAAACAAAAGACACAGAGGGGAAUGAGACAGACAAAAUGAAAAACCGGUUAGCGCUGUUGUUGUUACGUCUGCUCCUGCCACACCCUCACUGCUCAUCCUGUGUCUCCUUGACCUGCCGCCACUCCCCCAGUACUCUCUCCCUCUUGGUGUGUGUGAUUGCAUGGGCGGAGACAGGUGUGCUGGAGUCAGAGCAGAUCCCCACCAGCUGCAACCUGUUCCAUAAUCAAGACCUCUACAAAUACUCAGCCCUGCCACUUCCACUCUGCUAGAUUGUAAUCUCUGCUCAUUCCUCCAGUUCCACGUCUUGUCAUCCUGCUACUCUGUCCUCGAUUCCCCACUCUACUACUCCAUUGGAUUACCUUCCGGACCUGCUUACCCUGUCCCAAUCCCUCUCGUUCCAGCCUCAGCCUCCGCAUCUGGUUUCCUGCAACCCACCCGAGCUUCCCCUGGCCUGCAAUCCAUCUUCCCCCUGUGUUUCAAUAAAUACCUUGGUUACUUCA